rnacentral:tRNA from 1 species
GUCGUUGUAGUAUAGUGGUGAGUAUUCCCGCCUGUCACGCGGGUGACCCGGGUUCCAUCCCCUGCAACGGCG